rnacentral:rRNA from 1 species
UACGUAGGGUCCGAGCGUUUGUCCGGAAUUAUUGGGCGUAAAGGGCUCGUAGGCGGUUCGUCACGUCGGGAGUGAAAACUCGGAGCUUAACUCCGAGCCUGCUUCCGAUACGGGCAGACUAGAGGUAGGCAGGGGAGAGCGGAACUCCUGGUGUAGCGGUGGAAUGCGCAGAUAUCAGGAAGAACACCGGUGGCGAAGGCGGCUCUCUGGGCCUUACCUGACGCUGAGGAGCGAAAGCGUGGGGAGCAAACAGG